AUUGAACGCUGGCGGCAUGCCUUACACAUGCAAGUCGAACGGCAGCACGGGUGCUUGCACCAGGUGGCGAGUGGCGAACGGGUGAGUAAUACAUCGGAACGUACCUUAUCGUGGGGGAUAACGCAGCGAAAGCUGUGCUAAUACCGCAUACGCCCUGAGGGGGAAAGCGGGGGAUCGCAAGACCUCGCGCGAUUAGAGCGGCCGAUGCCUGAUUAGCUUGUUGGUGGGGUAAAAGCCCACCAAGGCGACGAUCAGUAGCUGGUCUGAGAGGACGAUCAGCCACACUGGGACUGAGACACGGCCCAGACUCCUACGGGAGGCAGCAGUGGGGAAUUUUGGACAAUGGGGGCAACCCUGAUCCAGCAAUGCCGCGUGAGUGAAGAAGGCCUUCGGGUUGUAGAGCUCUUUUGUCAGGGAAGAAACACCGGCUCUAACACAGUCUGGGAAUGACGGUACCUGAAGAAUAAGCACCGGCUAACUACGUGCCAGCCGCCGCCGUAA
rnacentral:rRNA from 1 species